CUGCAGAGACGGAGGCGGGCGUGCAUGAGAUGUUAGUGUUGGCCACGGCAUCUGGUCGCCGGCGUGGCUCCGACCGCUUGUUGAAGUAAGUCCAGGUUGAUGCUGCUCUGCCUUUUCAUUCUCCUCUUUCUCGCUUUCGUCUCGGACUUUCUGUUUGUCUCAUUUUUUGCAGCCACAAACACCAGGAGGAGAACAACGAAUGAACCAGAGAGUAUUUGGACAAGGUUCUGAGUGAGAAAAGUCACAAGAAGGAGAUUUGUAGGAGCAUCUUGACCAUGACCAAACGGAUGAUUUUGACGCACACUGCAUAUUUGAUGAAAUCCAGCAAUGAAGGUGACUUUUCCCCGAUAAAUUGGGUGUCAUAC